CAAUGAUUAGCUGCUAGUCGAUCGCGGAGCAUGUUCUCGGCCCGUCCCAUUGUCAAGUAACGUGAAAUUAUUUGCACUUGAUUGAAACACUGUUUACCUGUGCUAAACGACUAGAGAUAAACCUAUUUGGGUGAUAUCAUAUGGAUCAGUAGAAGUUACACUUUGCCAGUUUUAUAAAUUUUGAUAACGGACAGAUAGUGUUCAGUUAAAUAAGGACGUAAAAAUGCGUAUUAAAAAGGAGUAACAUCUAUGGGUAUAUAAUUAACUCAAAUGACUAAAUUAUAUGGUUUCGGAAUACAAGCAGUUUUCUGACUUACAUUCAGAUUCGGGUAAUUGAGUUUUGUGAAUAGUGAAUAAUGUAUGUUUGUCAUAAGGCCUGCAGCAAGAAAUUGAAAUUAAAGAAUUGAAGUAGGCGUUUAGAAAUUUUACGUUUUAUCUUGAAAACAAUAAGUGAUUACAAAUCAGACGGACUACGUGUCAUGAAAUAUGUUCAAGGCUCUUGAGUGCACUCGUGAAUUAUCAAUCCGAUAGUCGAGUACUGAAAAUAUUUCAUAAUUGUAUGUUUAUAAGAUCUUGGAUGUUUAUUUAGUGAAAUUGUGAUUGAUUUUGGUGGCAGUCUGUGGCUGAAAUUCGAUAUAUUUGAUGCGGAGUAAUUUAAAGGUAGCGUGUAAUUAGGGCCGCCUUUUUGAAAUAAAGUUAACAGUUUAAACCAGUAAUACAGCCUCCAUGAUUGUGACAAAUGCUUUUCGGAAAUUGAAUUUCUAGGAUUGACAUUCUGUUAUAUACGAAUAAUUCUUGAGUGUGAUAUUUCUAAUUUGUGUUUUUCUGGAAUAUAUUUCACAUAAGAAGGGAGCUGACUUCAGACUGUGAGUUACUUCAACAGAAAAGGACAAUUGCUCUGAUCACUGUAACACAGAUAUUGGAUUUAUUUAGCAGAAGUGAGCAGUUUUAAAGGAAUUUUCUCUGACUGACAAAUAGGUAA